rnacentral:lncRNA from 1 species
CUGAACGGACCGACUCCUGCCAAAACACCGCUGCACCGGUCUUUACAGCGUGGACGAGCUGCGCUCGACGUGACAUUGACCCAUCUUACAUCUCCAUCAGUUCUUGUCCGAUGCGCUUCCAGAAGUGGGGCGUCUGCAGGCUUAGCUGACGGCUCGUCAUUCAACGUGGCUGACAGCCAAAUUAUCCCGAUCCAUCUUGCUCCUGGCAAGAGGCGACAUAGAGGACACAGCAGGUUAGUCUGGGUGUUCUUCUCUGCGCAUCCAGCGCAGCUCUUUAAGCCUUAUCCUUCACGGAACAAGAUCGCUCGAAUGACCAUGAAAACAUGGGAGCAGCCAGUGCAGCCAAUUAGACCUCUUUCACAUCCCUCUAUGGAGGAAUGCUGAAGGCACGGGCCAAGUAGGCGUCUGUCUGUGGAGCAUGUGUGACUGUGUGUCUGCACGCUAGGGACCGCGAUGUGCUCCUCACUGAUUGGGAAUCAAAUCACAUUUAUUUAUUAGGCAUUUUGCAUAUUAUGCAGAAGAUGCAUACAGUGUGACAUACUGACAGAACUCAAGACAGUUUUAUUUAUAUAGCAACUUUCAUUGUUUGCUAAUAAAAAAAUUUAAACAGUUUAAGUAGGAAGGCCA